rnacentral:misc_RNA from 1 species
GUAGGUGAACCUGCGGAAGGAUCAUUAACGAGAGAGGGGUCCCGCGCCCCGGGGGUUUCGGCCCCACCUCUUCACCCUGUGCUUACCUGCCUUUGUUGCUUCGGCGGGCCUCGAGGCUCCUCGACGCCGGCCCGGGGGCAACCCCGGGCUCGCGCGCGCUCGCCGGAGGCCAUUCCAAACCCCGUCGUCAGUGUAGUCCGAGUAUCAAUUCAAUAACUAAAACUUUCAACAACGGAUCUCUUGGUUCUG